GCUCCGGUGGUGAAAUUGGUAAACACAAGGCACUUAAAAUGCCUCGGCCUAUGGCCUUGCCGGUUCAAGUCCGGCCCGGAGCACCA
rnacentral:tRNA from 1 species